AUGGUGCUUAGAGUGUGCUUAGUGACAAGAGCUGCAGCAUGGCUUCCUGCACUGGGAGGGAAGAUCUGAGUCAAGGAUACCCCUUCCCUAUGCUAGAAAGACACUCCAAUACAGAUAAGAGUGCUUCGGAGGAAAUGACCUCUGAUAAUGUGACAGAAUGAUCCAAUGGACCCCUGCAAUGGCCACUCCUCUGCACCAUUCACCCACCAAAGAUUGAUUGUAUGGCCUGUAGACAGGCUUGGGGGUUUCCCACAGGCCCAGCAGGGCAUUCUGGGAGAAUCGUGGAAACAUAAUUUCUGUACCCAAAACAGACACUUACCAAG